CCCUUAGAUGUCCUGGGCCGCACGCGUGCUAAACUGAUGCAUACAGCGAGUACUCCCAGCUCCGAGAGGCUGCUGGUAAUCAGCAAUAUGCAUCGUGAUGGGGAUAGAUCUUUGGAAUUAUAGAUCUUGAACGAGGAAUUCCUAGUAAUCGCAGGUCAUCACCCUGCGUUGACUAAGUCCCUGCCCUUUGUACACACCGCCCGUCGCUCCUACCGAUUUCGAGUGAUCCGGUGAAUCAUUCGGACCGCGGCCCCUAGGCAUGCGGAAAGUCUAGUAAACCAUAUCACUUAGAGGAAGGAGAAGUCGUAACA
rnacentral:rRNA from 1 species